rnacentral:rRNA from 1 species
UACAGAGGGGGCAAGCGUUGUUCGGAAUUACUGGGCGUAAAGGGCGCGUAGGCGGCCUGCUAAGUCGAACGUGAAAUCCCUGGGCUCAACCCAGGAACUGCGUCCGAUACUGGUGGCUUGAAUCCGGGAGAGGGAUGUGGAAUUCCAGGUGUAGCGGUGAAAUGCGUAGAUAUCUGGAGGAACACCGGUGGCGAAAGGCGGC